rnacentral:rRNA from 1 species
CGCAUCUGUGCAUGCAGCAUAUCAAUAAGCGGAGGAAAAGAAACUAACAAGGAUUCCCCUAGUAACGGCGAGUGAAGCGGGAAGAGCUCAAAUUUGAAAUCUUAAAGGGUUUCCCUUUACGAAUUGUAGUUUAAAGAAGUGUUUUCUGUUGAGGUUUUGGUAAAAGUUCUUUGGAAUAGGACAUCAUAGAGGGUGAGAAUCCCGUAUUUGACCUUUACUUUCAACUUUGUGAUACACUUUCAAAGAGUCGGAUUGUUUGGGAAUGCAGUCCAAAAUGGGUGGUAAAUUUCAUCUAAAGCUAAAUAUUGGCGAGAGACCGAUAGCGAACAAGUACCGUGAGGGAAAGAUGAAAAGAACUUUGAAAAGAGAGUUAAACAGUACGUGAAAUUGUCAAAAGGGAAGCGUUUGACACCAGUGUUGUUUUUCUGAAAAUCAAUUAAAGAACUGUUUAUGCUAAGCUGUUUAGACUUUAUCAGCUAAUCUGUUUAGUUUUGAGCUUUUCUUUAAUGCACUUUUCAGUUAACAAGUCAACAUCAAUUUCUUUUGCUGUAAAAAAGCUUGAGGAAGGUGGCUUGAGAUUCGUCUUAAGUGUUUAUAGCCUCUUGCCUAUGCAGUCGGAGAGAUUGAGGUCUGCAGCGUAGAUCCUUCGGGGCUAAAUGCAUUUGUGCUAAGUUAUAGCAUUUUAUAGACAACUUGUUGACUAUGAUUUGUCUUGUAGCUUACUCGCUUAUGUUAUUUUACCUACGCUUAGGAUGUUGAGUCGUAGAGCACGCAG